UCAUUUUUUGUAAGAAAUUUUCCAUAUUGAUAUCUGAUCCUGGAGCUCUAUAAAUGCAGCUUAUAAUUAUAUUUUUUGAUUUUUUACAUUUAAUUUCAACUGUAACACAUUCCAUGAU